GGAGUUAGCCGGUGCUUCUUCUGUGAGUGAUGUCCUUCCUGCCGGCUAUUAACCCGCAGGCCUUCUUCCUCACUGAAAGUGCUUUACAACCCGAAGGCCUUCUUCACACACGCGGCAUGGCUGGAUCAGGGUUGCCCCCAUUGUCCAAUAUUCCCCACUGCUGCCUCCCGUAGGAGUCUGGGCCGUGUCUCAGUCCCAGUGUGGCUGAUCAUCCUCUCAGACCAGCUACGGAUCGUCGCCUUGGUGAGCCGUUACCUCACCAACCAGCUAAUCCGACAUAGGCUCAUCCGAUAGCGCGAGGCCCGAAGGUCCCCCGCUUUCCCCCGUAGGGCGUAUGCGGUAUUAGCCUGGGUUUCCCCAGGUUAUCCCCCACUACCGGGCAGAUUCCUAUGCAUUACUCACCCGUCCGCCGCUCGCCACCAGGGAGCAAGCUCCCCGUGCUGCCGCUCGACUUGCAUGUGUUAGCGUCGCCGCCACGCGUCAUCUGAGCACUAAUACAACUACUGA
rnacentral:rRNA from 1 species